GACGAACGCUGGCGGCGUGCUUAACACAUGCAAGUCGAACGCUGAACCCGCUUCGGUGGGGGAUGAGUGGCGAACGGGUGAGUAACACGUGGGCAACCUGCCCCCGGCUCUGGGAUAACUCCAAGAAAUUGGGGCUAAUACCGGAUGUGACCGCUGGCCGCAUGGUCUGGUGGUGGAAAGGGUUUCCGGCUGGGGAUGGGCCCGCGGCCUAUCAGCUUGUUGGUGGGGUAGUGGCCUACCAAGGCGACGACGGGUAGCCGGCCUGAGAGGGUGACCGGCCACACUGGGACUGAGACACGGCCCAGACUCGUACGGGAGGCAGCAGUGGGGAAUAUUGCGCAAUGGGCGGAAGCCUGACGCAGCGACGCCGCGUGGGGGAUGACGGCCUUCGGGUUGUAAACCUCUUUCAGCAGGGACGAAGCGCAAGUGACGGUACCUGCAGAAGAAGCACCGGCCAACUACGUG
rnacentral:rRNA from 1 species